GACGAACGCUGGCGGCGCGCCUAACACAUGCAAGUCGAACGAGCGAGAGAGAGCUUGCUUUCUUGAGCGAGUGGCGAACGGGUGAGUAACGCGUGAGGAACCUGCCUCAAAGAGGGGGACAACAGUUGGAAACGACUGCUAAUACCGCAUAAGCCCACGGUGCCGCAUGGCACAGAGGGAAAAGGAGCAAUCCGCUUUGAGAUGGCCUCGCGUCCGAUUAGCUAGUUGGUGAGGUAACGGCCCACCAAGGCGACGAUCGGUAGCCGGACUGAGAGGUUGAACGGCCACAUUGGGACUGAGACACGGCCCAGACUCCUACGGGAGGCAGCAGUGGGGAAUAUUGCACAGUGGGGGAAACCCUGAUGCAGCGACGCCGCGUGGAGGAAGAAGGUCUUCGGAUUGUAAACUCCUGUUGUUGGGGAAGAUAAUGACGGUACCCAACAAGGAAGUGACGGCUAACUACGUG
rnacentral:rRNA from 1 species